rnacentral:tRNA from 1 species
UAGCUCAGUGGUAGAGUGUGUGCUUAACAUGUACAAGGCUCUGGGUUCAAUCCCUUG